UACGUAGGGCGCAAGCGUUGUCCGGAAUUAUUGGGCGUAAAGAGCUCGUAGGCGGCUUGUCACGUCGGGUGUGAAAGCCCGGGGCUUAACCCCGGGUCUGCAUUCGAUACGGGCUAGCUAGAGUGUGGUAGGGGAGAUCGGAAUUCCUGGUGUAGCGGUGAAAUGCGCAGAUAUCAGGAGGAACACCGGUGGCGAAGGCGGGAUCUCUGGGCCAUUACUGACGCUGAGGAGCGAAAGCGUGGGGAGCGAACAGG
rnacentral:rRNA from 1 species